rnacentral:siRNA from 1 species
CAAGCUUUCUCUCUCUAGUUCUCU